UACGGUGAAUACGUUCCCGGACCUUGCACACACCGCCCGUCAAGCCAUGGAAGCCGGGUGUACCUAAAGUCGGUAACCGCAAGGAGCCGCCAAGGUAAAACUGGUAACUGGGGCU
rnacentral:rRNA from 1 species